rnacentral:rRNA from 1 species
CCUACGGGGUGCAGCAGUAGGGAAUUUUCGUCAAUGGGCGCAAGCCUGAACGAGCAAUGCCGCGUGAACGAGGAAGGUCUUCGGAGCGUAAAGUUCUGUUGAAGGGGAAAAAGAGCGGAGAGAGGAAAUGCUGUCUGAUUGAUAUUACCCAUCGAGGAAGUCACGGCUAACUACGUGCCAGCAGCCGCGGUAAUACGUAGGUGGCGAGCGUUAUCCGGAAUGAUUGGGCGUAAAGGGUGCGUAGGCGGCCUGCUAAGUCUGGAGUGAAAGGUACCGGCGCAACCGGUACAGGCUCUGGAAACUGGCGGGCUAGAGGGCAGGCGAGGGCGGUGGAACUCCAUGUGUAGCGGUAAAAUGCGUAGAUAUAUGGAAGAACAUCAGUGGCGAAGGCGGCCGCCUGGCCUGUUAACUGACGCUGAGGCACGAAAGCGUGGGGAGCAAAUAGGAUUAGAUACCCCUGUAGUC